GACGAACGCUGGCGGCGUGCUUAACACAUGCAAGUCGAACGGAAAGGCCCUGCUUUUGUUGGGUGCUCGUGUGGCGAACGGGUGAGUAACACGUGAGUAACCUCCCCUUGACUUUGGGAUAACUUCAGGAAACUGGGGCUAAUACCGGAUAGGAGCUCCUGCUGCAUGGUGGGGGUUGGAAAGUUUCGGCGGUUGGGGAUGGACUCGCGGCUUAUCAGCUUGUUGGUGGGGUAGUGGCUUACCAAGGCUUUGACGGGUAGCCGGCCUGAGAGGGUGACCGGCGACAUUGGGACUGAGAUACGGCCCAGACUGCUACGGGCGGCAGCAGUGGGGAAUAUUGCGCAAUGGGCGGAAGCCUGAUGCAGCAACGCCGCGUGCGGGAUGACGGCCUUCGGGUUGUAAACCGCUUUCGCCUGUGACGAAGCGUGAGUGACGGUAAUGGGUAAGGAAGCACCGGCUAACUACGUG
rnacentral:rRNA from 1 species